GGCAGCCGCCGCGGUAACACCGGCAGCUCUAGUGGUAGCUGUUUUAUUGGGCCUAAAGCGUUCGUAGCCGGUUUGAUAAGUCACUGGUGAAAUCCUGUAGCUUAACUGUGGGAAUUGCUGGUGAUACUGUUGAACUUGAGGUCGGGAGAGGUUAGCGGUACUCCCAGGGUAGAGGUGAAAUUCUGUAAUCCUGGGAGGACCACCUGUGGCGAAGGCGGCUAACUGGAACGAACCUGACGGUGAGGGACGAAAGCUAGGGGCGCGAACCGGAUUAGAUACCCGGGUAGUCCUAGCCGUAAACGAUGCGGACUUGGUGUUGGGAUGGCUUUGAGCCGCUCCGGUGCCGAAGGGAAGCUGUUAAGUCCGCCGCCUGGGAAGUACGGUCGCAAGACUGAAACUUAAGGAAUUGGCGGGGGAGCACCACAACGCGUGGAGCCUGCCGGUUUAAUUGGAUUCAACGCCGGACAUCUCACCAGGAGCGACAGCUGUAUGAUUACCAGGCUGAUGACCUUGUUUGACUAGCUGAGAGUAGUGGUGCAUGG
rnacentral:rRNA from 1 species